UAAUCUUGAAUUCUUCAUGAAAACGAGGCUGCCCAUUUCGGUUUGGGUUCACGCCAUUUUGCAUGCAGCAAUACUAGUUCGUCGGCUGCCCAUUUUGGUUUGGGGUCACGGCAUUUUGCAUGCAGCAAUACUAGUUCGUCGGCUGCCCACUUUUGUUUGGGAUCACGCCAUUUUGCAUGCGGCAAUACUAGUUCGUCGGCUGCCCACUUCAGUUUGGGGACACGCCA
rnacentral:lncRNA from 1 species